rnacentral:rRNA from 1 species
UACGGAGGAUCCAAGCGUUUAUCCGGAAUCAUUGGGUUUAAAGGGUCCGUAGGCGGCCCAGUAAGUCAGUGGUGAAAUCUCCCGGCUCAACCGGGAAAUUGCCAUUGAUACUGCUGGGCUUGAAUUACCAGGAAGUAACUAGAAUAUGUAGUGUAGCGGUGAAAUGCUUAGAGAUUACAUGGAAUACAUGAUGAGGAGCAGGUUACUACUGGUGGAUUGACGCUGAUGGACGAAAGCGUGGGUAGCGAACAGG